AGUGUGUGAGUGUGUGUGAGUGUGUGUGAGUGUGUGUAUGUGUGUGUGUUGGGGGAAGGGCCAGCGGCAACUCCCUGAGGAAGAACAUUACACUGUUAGAGGAAGCAGCUCUACCUAGCCUUGGAUGUUUUUAAAUUCUUCAAGCAAAUCUUCUCUGUCAGCCCUUCGCCUGAAGCUGCAUUUGCUCAGACGUAGCUAUAGAUGUGAUUUUACCUCUGUAUUGUGAAUUUUCACCAAGUUUCUUGGUUCUGAAGCAUGAAAUCCUUGGACCUCAUCCUGAAAAGGAGUCCGGUUAAGGAUGGGAGAACGCAGUAAGCAUCUGCUAGAGUGCUCUGUCCAGGAGCUGUGUCAUGCUUCUCUCAGUCCUGCAUGGAGCUUGCUGAACCAUCAUAAUCUACUGACUGGAGUCUCUCUUCAGGCAGGAAGGACAAAAGAGUAAACUAGAGAAAGGAGAGUCCGUGCUGUGGUCUACUCAUAAGGGCAGGGACAUGGAGCUGCCCAAAGGAUCACUCCUAUUGGCUUCCUAGGGCUGAGGUAACAAACUUCAAGACCUGGGAGCCUGAAACAUCAUCAGAGUAUUCUCCUACAGUUAAAGAGGCUGAAAUCUGUGAUGAAGAACACCUACUGUCUUUCCCUGGCUUCUGCUGGUUACCAGUGCUUCUGGCUUCUAUUACAAUCUCCUGAAUGCAUGGCUUCUCCCUGUGUGUCUUUGUGUAUACUGUUCUCUCUCAUUUAUGGACAGUUAUUGUAUGUAGGAGCCACUCAAAUCCAAAAUGGCCCUAUCUCAAACCAACAAAGACCCUGUUUCCCAUUGAGGUCA